GGGAUCGAAGAUGAUUAGAUACCAUCGUAGUCUUAACCGUCAACUAUGCCGACUUGCGAUUGUCCGAUGUUUAUUAUAGACUUGGGCAGCAGCACAUGAGAAAUCAAAGUUUUUGGGUUCCGGGGGGAGUAUGUUCGCAAGAAUGAAACUUAAAGGAAUUGACGGAAGGGCACACCAGGAGUGGAGCCUGCGGCUUAAUUUGACUCAACACGGGAAAACUCACCAGGUCCAGACAAAGUAAGGAUUGACAGAUUGAGAGCUCUUUCUUGAUUCUUUGGGUGGUGGUGCAUGGCCGUUCUUAGUUGGUGGAGUGAUUUGUCUGGUUAAUUCCGAUAACGAACGAGACCCCAACCUGCUAACUAGGACAGGCUAUGGUAACAUAGUUUGAGCCUUCUUAGAGGGACAUUUCGGGUUUACCGGAAGGAAGUUCGAG
rnacentral:rRNA from 1 species